rnacentral:misc_RNA from 1 species
UCCGGUUUGGCACCGGCAGUCUCCCGUGAGUCCCCGGCUUUCCCGCUGGCAACAUGGGACAGGGGUUGCGCUCGUUGCGCCACUUAAGGCAACACCUCACGGCACGAGCUGACGACGGCCAUGCAACACCUGUGCGGGCUCCCGAAGGAGGACCGUAUUUCUACGGCUUCACCCCGCAUGUCAAGCCCUGGUAAGGUUCUUCGCGUUGCGUCGAAUUAAGCCACAUGCUCCGCCGCUUGUGCGGGCCCCCGUCAAUUCCUUUGAGUUUUAGCCUUGCGACCGUACUCCCCAGGCGGGGCACUUAAUGCGUUAGCUUCGGCACUGCAGGGGUCGAUACCCGCAACACCAAGUGCCCAUCGUUUACAGCCAGGACUAC